rnacentral:rRNA from 1 species
UACGUAUGGGGCAAGCGUUAUCCGGAUUUACUGGGUGUAAAGGGAGCGUAGACGGCGAUGCAAGUCUGAAGUGAAAGCCCGGGGCUCAACCCCGGGACUGCUUUGGAAACUGUAUGGCUGGAGUGCUGGAGAGGCAAGCGGAAUUCCUAGUGUAGCGGUGAAAUGCGUAGAUAUUAGGAAGAACACCAGUGGCGAAGGCGGCUUGCUGGACAGUAACUGACGUUGAGGCUCGAAAGCGUGGGGAGCAAACAGG